rnacentral:lncRNA from 1 species
GAUAAGGCUAUGUCGCGACAUAGAAUAGCAGAUCUGCGCCCCAUACAGUUUGGUACUCCGGCUACAGGCCGUUGAGUGGAUAUGAUUAUAUAGGCCAUAGCAGCCAAGCAUACAGUUUCAUCCAGUUUCAUACAGUUUUUCUUAUCACUUCGGUUUCACUAUAACCUUAUGGAGCCAUACAGAUAUCUUGACAUAACAUUGCAUGAAUCAUACAGUAUACUAAACAGCAAGAAAGAUCAUCAAGG